rnacentral:lncRNA from 12 species
AUGCCUUGGGCAGGAACCCUCCUGCUCCCCUUUCAGGUGCCUGCUUGGCAGCAGGGGUCCCAGGAAUCUGGGACCUGCAGCCCCUCUGCUCUCCUAGCAUUAGAAUUUGAAUCCUUACACAUUCCAAGGGCAGCUCGGCAGCAGCAGGCAGGGAGCUGCCUGCCCUGCCAGCCUCUUCCUGCGUCUCCUGUAUUUCUGGGAGCCUCCCUGCUGCCACAUGGAUCUGUUUCUCUGAGCAAUAACCCGAACGUGGAUCCUCUGAGCAGUAACCCAAAUGUGGAUCGUUUUUCACAGAGCAAUAACCCGAACGUGGAUCCUCUGAGCAAUAACCCAAACGUGGAUCGUUUUUCACGAGCAAUAACCCAGAUGGGGCUGCUUUCUCUGAGCAGUCACCCAAGAGUCACUGUACAAGUGGCACCCCACAGCAGAGCUGUGCCCCCACGGCUGUGCUCAGAGCCUGUGCUCCUCCUCCUCCUCCUCCUCCUCCUCCCUUUCUCUCUGCUCCAGCACAGCAGCUGCGCUGCCGCCCUGGCCUCUUCCUCCCCCAGUCCCUGCGAGGACACAAUUAAAGGGCUCCGGUUUCACCCUUGCUCUUUGCUGCCUUUGUCCGGCUGUGGGACGGGUGCCACGGGUGUUGGGGACAUGGGCUCCUGCCAGCCCUCUGCUGCCGCUGCAGGGACAGGCUCCACGUCCUGCUCCACCACAGCCCUGUCCAUGGGCAGCCCCUUCCUCCCUCCUGCACGCUGGGAUCCUUCUGGGCAGCACAAAGAGAGCAGGCACCAGGGGAACCCCGGGAGGGAGUGGUGCCGUGGCAGCACCAGGGCUUUGUCCUUGUCCAGGCAUCGUCCCUGCCCUGGCCUGGGCUCCAGCAGAGCCCCCGCGCUGGGGCAGAGCAGCUGAGGGACCUCAGGGCUGUUUCUCACACAGUGGCUGCUGCUCCUGGCCCUUCCAGCUCGCUGCCCCACGGUGCUGACACUACCUGAGGCCUGUGCCCCUGCAGCCCCAGGGCUGUGUCUGCUGGCAGCGCACCAGCCAACGCCUCCAGUGGCUUUUUUGAUGUCCCAGAACAGGCUGUGCAGGAAGUUCAGUGCAUGGGUCCACCUGGGAGCAAGGCAGUGCUGGUCCCUCGGGGGAAUCCUGCCUGGACACGCCAGCUCUGUGCGGAGCUCCCCAUUUCCCCUGGCCCUGUCCUGGCACUUGCCAGUUGUGUGAGGGCUCAAAACCAGCCCUGGCUGCAAUCCCAGGCCUCACCCUCAGCCACCACAGAGUCAGGUCCAGCUGGCAAAGUGUCCAGGGCUCCCACAGCAAGGUGGGAUGGGAACAAGGAGCUGAUGCUCCCUGGGCAGGCUGUGGGUCCCACAGGCAGCACAACACUGUGGUGCUGGGAAGGGAGCUGCCACAGCCUCUCCUUGCUAGGGGCUGCCCUCCUCCCAGCCCCAGGCACCACAUUUUCUUACUCCUGGUCACCUCCUGUUUCUCAUGGUGCCAGGAUGGCUUCACCCCAUCGCUCUGUGCUCUCCUACCACAGGACUCCCUGCUCUGCCUGCAGCACACUGCCACAGCACAGGCCUCCAGGCAUGGCCCCAGGACAGCCCAGGGGCCAGCCUGCCCGAGCUGGCACAGCCCCAGGCACAGAGCCACUGUCCCUGCAGGGCCCUGUGCGCCCUGGCCCAGUGGUCAGCCAAGCACACGAGGAGGGGACCCCACAGAUCUGAUGGCGAGCACGGUCCUCUGGCCCGCUGUGAAUCCAUGGGCAGAUCCUCCUCUGCCUGCAGGGAGAGCCAGACACGGCUGCACUCCACGGGAUGGUCCUGGCUAGGAAGGCUCUCAGCCCUGCCGCACGCACACGUGUCUGAAGGACUUUAUAUAAAAACAUCGUUUCUGCACGCGCACGUGGGGCUGCAGGGGGGGCAGUCCCCAGCUCCCCUUCCCCGGACACAAUUCACAUUUUCCACACAUCAAAAACGAACCAAGCACAGACACACAGCACAUGCCGCGGGGCUGGCACUGCCCAGCCGCACGCGUGGCCCUGGUCCCACGGUGGGACGUCACAGUGGCUGGGGCACGGGGGGUCUGCGGCCACCCCCUCCUGCCCUCUGCAUAGAGGGGUCAGGGCCUGGCACAGCCUGGGCCAGGAACCGUGUCUGUGCCUGCAGCAGGGACACAGGAAUCGCCCUGGAUGGAGGGCCCUGGGAGGCGUGUGGCACCCCCGACACCCGCGAGGGGAUGCCCAGGGAGCCCGCGAGGGCCGGGACCCCGCUGGCUGGCGGCCCCCCCCCCCCCCCCCCCCCCCCCCCCCCCCCCCCCCCCCCCCCCCCCCCCCCCCCCCCCCCCCCCCCCC